AGAGUUUGAUCCUGGCUCAGAACGAACGCUGGCGGCGUGCCUAAUACAUGCAAGUCGAACGAGAAUUCCCGGCUUCGGUUGGGAUAGUAAAGUGGCGAACGGGUGAGUAACACGUGGAUAACCUGCCUGUGCAACCGGAAUAAUCCCUCGAAAGGGGGCUUAAUACCGGAUAAUAUCUCGAAGCGGCAUCGCUUUGAGAUCAAAGACGGGGCAACCUGUCGUGUACAGAUGGAUCCGCGCCCCAUUAGCUAGUUGGCGGGGUAACGGCCCACCAAGGCUGAGAUGGGUAGCCGGCCUGAGAGGGUGAACGGCCACACUGGGACUGAGAUACGGCCCAGACUCCUACGGGAGGCAGCAGUAGGGAAUAUUGCGCAAUGGACGAAAGUCUGACGCAGCAACGCCGCGUGGAUGAUGACGCAUUUCGGUGUGUAAAAUCCUGUCAGUGGGGAAGAAAAGCAUGAGGAGUAACUGCCUCAUGCCUGACGGUACCCGCAGAGGAAGUCCCGGCUAACUCCGUGCCAGCAGCCGCGGUAAUACGGGGGGGACAAGCGUUGUUCGGAUUUACUGGGCGUAAAGGGCGCGUAGGCGGGCCUUCAAGUCGGGUGUGAAAUCUGGUGGCUUAACCACCAGUCUGCAUUCGAUACUGUUGGUCUUGAGUACGGGAGAGGAGAAUGGAAUUUCAGGUGUAGCGGUGAAAUGCGUAGAUAUCUGAAAGAACACCAGUAGCGAAGGCGGUUCUCUGGACCGAUACUGACGCUGAAGCGCGAAGGCUUGGGGAGCAAACAGGAUUAGAUACCCUGGUAGUCCAAGCGGUAAACUAUGGGUACUAGGUGUCGGAGGUAUCGACCCCUCCGGUGCCGCAGCUAACGCAAUAAGUACCCCGCCUGGGGAGUACGAUCGCAAGAUUGAAACUCAAAGGAAUUGACGGGGGCCCGCACGAGCGGUGGAGUAUGUGGUUUAAUUCGACUCAACGCGCAGAACCUUACCUGGGUUUGACAUGCACGGGACCGACGGUGAAAGUCGUCUUCCUCUUCGGAGGCCCGUGGACAGGUGCUGCAUGGCUGUCGUCAGCUCGUGCCGUGAGGUGUUGGGUUAAGUCCCGCAACGAGCGCAACCCUCAUCCACAGUUGCCAUCAGGUAAUGCUGGGAACUCUGUGGAGACUGCCGGUGACAAGCCGGAGGAAGGUGGGGAUGACGUCAAGUCAUCAUGGCCCUUACGCCCAGGGCUACACACGUACUACAAUGGCCGGUACAGAAGGACGCAAGACCGUGAGGUGGAGCCAAUCCCCAAAGCCUGCCUCAGUUCAGAUUGGAGUCUGCAACUCGACUCCAUGAAGGUGGAAUCGCUAGUAAUCGCUGAUCAGCAGGCAGCGGUGAAUACGUUCCCGGGCCUUGUACACACCGCCCGUCAAGCCACGGAAGUUGGGAGCACCCGAAGUCGUUUGCCUAACCGCAAGGAGGGCGGCGCCGAAGGUGAUACUGAUGACUGGGGCUAAGUCGUAACAAGGUA
rnacentral:rRNA from 1 species